UACGUAGGAUCCGAGCGUUGUCGGAAUUACUGGGUGUAAUGGGCGUGUAGGUGGGCCUUUAAGUCGGUAGUGAAAUCCCGCAGCUCAACUGCGGAAUUGCUUCCGAUACUGGAGGUCUUGAGUACGGCAGAGGGAGAUAGAAUUCAUGGUGUAGCGGUGAAAUGUGUAGAUAUCAUGAAGAAUACCGGUAGCGAAGGCGGUCUCCUGGUCCGUUACUGACACUGAGGCGCGAAAGCUAGGGGAGC
rnacentral:rRNA from 1 species